rnacentral:tRNA from 2 species
GUUUGGGUAGCUCAGUAGGUAGAGCAAAGGACUGAAAAUCCUUAGGUCGUUGGUUCAAUCCCAGUCUCAGACA